rnacentral:rRNA from 1 species
AUGUCAACGGACGGUCUGGAGCUUAACGGUAACUUUGGAGCCAACCUUGCCGGAUUGGAGUUUGAUGUGUUCCCGGUGGAAUCCCAGGAUUCCAUGAGUGCUCCACCCAUAGAGCUCGAGAAGAACGAAGAAUCAGGGCUGAUCAAAGAUGGGCAGAGAUUUGAGGUGUGCUCUGAAGCUACAAGCGGCUGGACGAGGAGAGUGAGGCUAGGGAAGGUACCUGAUGAGAGGGGCAUGAACCCGGACAGGAAGACGGCACUUGAGCUGUCUAUCCGUGCUUUUGCCGAAAAAGGUGAAGGGCAUGUCGUGAGUCCAAAAAUUGGCACGGAGUUUGACUCGCUGGACGAGGCGUAUGAGUUCUACAACGUAUAUUCAUGGGAAAUAGGGUUCAGUAUACGGCUGGCAAAGAGCAGGCUGAACGUGCAAAGAACAAGAUGUAUGCAAGAGAUUGUCUGUGCGUGUGCGGGGUCCCCGUUGAAGGAGAACAGCCGUUCUUCGAGGUGUGGUUGCAGUGCAAUGAUAAGGCUGCUCUGA